GGGUUGUGAGGUUAAGCGACUAAGCGUACACGGUGGAUGCCCUGGCAGUCAGAGGCGAUGAAGGACGUGCUAAUCUGCGAAAAGCGUCGGUAAGGUGAUAUGAACCGUUAUAACCGGCGAUGUCCGAAUGGGGAAACCCAGUGCAAUUCGUUGCACUAUCGUUAACUGAAUACAUAGGUUAACGAGGCGAACCGGGGGAACUGAAACAUCUAAGUACCCCGAGGAAAAGAAAUCAACCGAGAUUCCCCCAGUAGCGGCGAGCGAACGGGGAGCAGCCCAGAGUCUGAAUCAGCUUGUGUGUUAGUGGAACGGUCUGGAAAGUCCGACGGUACAGGGUGAUAGUCCCGUACACCAAAAUGCACAGGCUGUGAACUCGAAGAGUAGGGCGGGACACGUGGUAUCCUGUCUGAAUAUGGGGGGACCAUCCUCCAAGGCUAAAUACUCCUGACUGACCGAUAGUGAACCAGUACCGUGAGGGAAAGGCGAAAAGAACCCCGGCGAGGGGAGUGAAAAAGAACCUGAAACCGUGUACGUACAAGCAGUGGGAGCACCUUCGGGUGUGACUGCGUACCUUUUGUAUAAUGGGUCAGCGACUUAUAUUCUGUAGCAAGGUUAACCGUAUAGGGGAGCCGCAGGGAAACCGAGUCUUAACUGGGCGUUAAGUUGCAGGGUAUAGACCCGAAACCCGGUGAUCUAGCCAUGGGCAGGUUGAAGGUUGGGUAACACUAACUGGAGGACCGAACCGACUAAUGUUGAAAAAUUAGCGGAUGACUUGUGGCUGGGGGUGAAAGGCCAAUCAAACCGGGAGAUAGCUGGUUCUCCCCGAAAGCUAUUUAGGUAGCGCCUCGUGAAUUCAUCUUCGGGGGUAGAGCACUGUUUCGGCUAGGGGGUCAUCCCGACUUACCAACCCGAUGCAAACUACGAAUACCGAAGAAUGUUAUCACGGGAGACACACGGCGGGUGCUAACGUCCGUCGUGAAGAGGGAAACAACCCAGACCGCCAGCUAAGGUCCCAAAGUCAUGGUUAAGUGGGAAACGAUGUGGGAAGGCACAGACAGCCAGGAUGUUGGCUUAGAAGCAGCCAUCAUUUAAAGAAAGCGUAAUAGCUCACUGGUCGAGUCGGCCUGCGCGGAAGAUGUAACGGGGCUAAACCAUGCACCGAAGCUGCGGCAGCGACACUAUGUGUUGUUGGGUAGGGGAGCGUUCUGUAAGCCUGCGAAGGUGGCCUGUGAGGGUUGCUGGAGGUAUCAGAAGUGCGAAUGCUGACAUAAGUAACGAUAAAGCGGGUGAAAAGCCCGCUCGCCGGAAGACCAAGGGUUCCUGUCCAACGUUAAUCGGGGCAGGGUGAGUCGACCCCUAAGGCGAGGCCGAAAGGCGUAGUCGAUGGGAAACAGGUUAAUAUUCCUGUACUUGGUGUUACUGCGAAGGGGGGACGGAGAAGGCUAUGUUAGCCGGGCGACGGUUGUCCCGGUUUAAGCAUGUAGGCUGGUUAUCCAGGCAAAUCCGGAUAAUCAAGGCUGAGGUGUGAUGACGAGGCACUACGGUGCUGAAGUAACAAAUGCCCUGCUUCCAGGAAAAGCCUCUAAGCAUCAGGUAACAUCAAAUCGUACCCCAAACCGACACAGGUGGUCAGGUAGAGAAUACCAAGGCGCUUGAGAGAACUCGGGUGAAGGAACUAGGCAAAAUGGUGCCGUAACUUCGGGAGAAGGCACGCUGGUGUGUAGGUGAAGUCCCUGCGGAUGGAGCUGAGACCAGUCGAAGAUACCAGCUGGCUGCAACUGUUUAUUAAAAACACAGCACUGUGCAAACACGAAAGUGGACGUAUACGGUGUGACGCCUGCCCGGUGCCGGAAGGUUAAUUGAUGGGGUUAUCCGUAAGGAGAAGCUCUUGAUCGAAGCCCCGGUAAACGGCGGCCGUAACUAUAACGGUCCUAAGGUAGCGAAAUUCCUUGUCGGGUAAGUUCCGACCUGCACGAAUGGCGUAAUGAUGGCCAGGCUGUCUCCACCCGAGACUCAGUGAAAUUGAACUCGCUGUGAAGAUGCAGUGUACCCGCGGCAAGACGGAAAGACCCCGUGAACCUUUACUAUAGCUUGACACUGAACAUUGAGCCUUGAUGUGUAGGAUAGGUGGGAGGCUUUGAAGCGUGGACGCCAGUCUGCGUGGAGCCAACCUUGAAAUACCACCCUUUAAUGUUUGAUGUUCUAACGUUGGCCCCUUACCGGGGUUGCGGACAGUGUCUGGUGGGUAGUUUGACUGGGGCGGUCUCCUCCCAAAGCGUAACGGAGGAGCACGAAGGUUAGCUAAUCCUGGUCGGACAUCAGGAGGUUAGUGCAAUGGCAUAAGCUAGCUUGACUGCGAGCGUGACGGCGCGAGCAGGUGCGAAAGCAGGUCAUAGUGAUCCGGUGGUUCUGAAUGGAAGGGCCAUCGCUCAACGGAUAAAAGGUACUCCGGGGAUAACAGGCUGAUACCGCCCAAGAGUUCAUAUCGACGGCGGUGUUUGGCACCUCGAUGUCGGCUCAUCACAUCCUGGGGCUGAAGUAGGUCCCAAGGGUAUGGCUGUUCGCCAUUUAAAGUGGUACGCGAGCUGGGUUUAGAACGUCGUGAGACAGUUCGGUCCCUAUCUGCCGUGGGCGCUGGAGAAUUGAGGGGGGCUGCUCCUAGUACGAGAGGACCGGAGUGGACGCAUCACUGGUGUUCGGGUUGUCAUGCCAAUGGCACUGCCCGGUAGCUAAAUGCGGAAGAGAUAAGUGCUGAAAGCAUCUAAGCACGAAACUUGCCCCGAGAUGAGUUCUCCCUGAGACUUUAAGUCUCCUGAAGGAACGUUAAAGACGAUGACGUUGAUAGGCCGGGUGUGUAAGCGCAGCGAUGCGUUGAGCUAACCGGUACUAAUGAACCGUGAGGCUUAACCUUACAACGCCGAAG
rnacentral:rRNA from 1 species